CCCAUAACCUUAACCUGAACGCAUUACAUGAUCUGUAUAUUUGUGUACGUAAUAUAUGGGUGUAGGCAAAAUUUUGUUGAAAAGCUGGCAUAGUUUUUUCUUGGGUAGGAUAACUAAACUGGGUGCAAAUGGUAUCCAUAGCUUAGAGGGUGCAAAUGGUACCCGUAAGAAGAUUGGUGGACAUCAUGGUGGACAAGAAUUUUUGAAAGAUGUGGAUUCUCUCCGGGUACUCCGAUUCUACUUACAAAAAGAUCAGCUUAGGACUGUAAUGACAUAAUUAUUGUAAAGAUAAAAUAGUCUAGGGCUUUUUUGCCGUGGAAAGGUGUAUCUUUCAUCGCCCGUAAUGCAUGUAUAUCGCUGGUUUUGAACGUUAGUUUUCUGCCCCGGGUUAUAUGAAAACAGUUCGCUAGCAGAGAUUAGGUCCUCUCUCUGUCAUGACGACUCAACGACUUCGUGGAAGACAAUUAACAUAAGGCAUGCUAAUCUUACCCCUGUUUGUGGAAGCUCAUCAGGUGCGAUCGGCACACUAGGUUAAGUUAAGUUAAGCUAGGGGCAUGAUCGAGACUCCACAUUCGGGGGUUUCCCUUGCAGGUUUUGAAAGGUUGUAUGCGCGCGCUAGUUAGGUAGGUUAGGCAGCUAGAGAUAGGGCGCUUUCGCUGUUUCUGAAUGUAUACUAUAAGGCAUGUAUACUAUAGUUCAUCAUUAUCAUACUUUUGCGCCAGUAACUUUCUGUGUGAAGUAUUUAACACAACAGGAAAAUAGAAUCUGUUUUUCUGCUGAAAAAUACUUACAGAACCAAUUCAAAGUGGAAAAAAGAAAAUAUUGCAAAAAUGAGAAAAAUAAAAAGGAAAACCGCGAAGUCACUUUGAAUACAAGCAACAAUAGUCCAAGAAUACUAGUUGCAGAAAAAAACCCAACAAAAAAGAAACCAUUUUCUGCUUAAAAUAUCUUGGAUUAGGGGCUUAACGAUAAGAAACGUAGUUCUCGCUCCAAGGUGGAGAAUAGGCUCGUUUCUUUAGGUUGCUAAUGCUUUGCGCGCGCGCUUUAUAAAUUGUAAUAUAAGUUUUUAGUUGAAAAGACCGCCAGGGAAAAUAGGGUGUUUUUAUGUGUUGCUUUGUUGACGGACAAGUUUUCAAAAUAAUGGUUUUCUUGUUUCCUUGCCGUAUGUUGGCACUUUAACUUGUUCCCAAACAUAGCCGCCGUGAAAACACUCUACAGAUCAAGUUUAUGUAUGGUCGCAAUAACAAUAUAGAAUGUUUGCCAUGUUGCAUUCCGUGUUGUCUUGCAUUGUUCAUACAUAAGCUUGGUCGAACCAUGGAUCAUAAAAACACCAUGGUCGAACGCAGCUAAUUAGCAUAAGCGGCGCGCGUGUGCUGCUGUAAUGCGGAGUACAGUCAUUGAGUGUACUCCAUGUGCAAAUAGUGAAGUGUGCUCUAUAUAGUCUUGCAACAAAGUUUCAUGCGCAAAGUUUCAUGCUUAUUAAAAUUCAACGCGCUAAGUUGCAUGCUUGGUAAAAUUAAGGGCAUGAAAAUCAGUGCAUGCUAUAUUUUAAUAGAGUGCGCGCGUUGCAAUUUUCUUGCGCGCGAUAGCAAAAUGCGCCAAAAAACCUCAGUAAAUAUAGAAAUGGACACGUCACCUCUUCAAAAUGCAUCCAAGUGUCCUAACAGCUUUUACAAACUAUCGUAAAAUAUGUUGGGUCGUUGGAUUCAUUUGCCACGCACCUUGUCCUGAACAUAUUUGAAAUAUUUUCAGGUUUCAAGGUUAAGAUAAAUAUACCCUUAUGUGGAACAAUCUGUUCAUAAAAAGGGAUAUUUGUCUUGCGCAAUUUGUAGACUAAAUUUUCG
rnacentral:lncRNA from 1 species